CGGCGCCUACGGGGGGCAGCAGUGGGGAAUAUUGCACAAUGGGGGAAACCCUGAUGCAGUGACGCCGCGUGAGUGAAGAAGUAUUUCGGUAUGUAAAGCUCUAUCAGCAGGGAAGAUAAUGACGGUACCUGACUAAGAAGCCCCGGCUAACUACGUGCCAGCAGCCGCGGUAAUACGUAGGGGGCAAGCGUUAUCCGGAAUUAUUGGGUGUAAAGGGUGCGUAGACGGAAGAACAAGUUGGUUGUGAAAUCCCUCGGCUCAACUGAGGAACUGCAACCAAAACUAUUCUCCUUGAGUGUCGGAGG
rnacentral:rRNA from 1 species